AACAGCGGAGAGUUUGAUCCUGGCUCAGGAUGAACGCUAGCGACAGGCUUAACACAUGCAAGUCGAGGGGCAGCGGUGGUGAAGGCUUGCCUUCACCAGCCGGCG
rnacentral:rRNA from 1 species